ensembl:lncRNA
CGCCCCGCCGCGCGCCUUCGCGCCCCGCCGCCGCCGUCCAACUUUUCUGUACAUUUCGCGUCAUCUAAACGGGGGAGAAAACUGGCAUCCUAUGCAAAUAUAUGCUGACGUAAAAGAUCAUGUGUUCCUCGUCGUCGCCCCCCCCCCCUAUGAGCGAGAGGAGGUGGUUCUCCUCCGGUUGUCUUUAGGUCGGCAAUGCCAGGAUCCGUACUGUACCCGCCGCACCGCACCGCACCGACCCUGGCCCGGGAGUAGGAGCCGUCUAGCCGCAGAGCCGCCGCAGACACGCCGCUCACAAGGAGGAGGUGUGUAAGUUACCGUGGUAACCCCUCACCCCCUGUAUGUUACCCUGGCAACCUGAGGAUGGCGGAGCAGCAGUCCUCCCAGAGCUGAGCAGAGGAGCGGUUAAAGAACCGUCACAGGGGGGGGAGGACAUGUCUGUCUGUCUGCUCUGGGGGCCGUCUGUCUGUCUGCUCUGGAGGGCCGUCUGUCUGUCUGCUCUGGAGGACUGUCUGUCUGCUCUGGAGGGCCGUCUGUCUGUCUGCUCUGGAGGGCCGUCUGUCUGUCUGCUCUGGAGGGCCGUCUGUCUGUCUGCUCUGGAGGGCCGUCUGUCUGCUCUGGGGGCCGUCUGUCUGCUCUGGAGGACUGUGUCUGCUCUGGGGGCCGUCUGUCUGCUCUGGAGGACUGUCUGUCUGCUCUGGAAGGCCGUCUGUCUGUCUGCUCUGGAGGACUGUCUGUCUGCUCUGGAGGACUGUCUGUCUGCUCUGGAGGGCCGUCUGUCUGUCUGCUCUGGAGGGCCGUCUGUCUGUCUGCUCUGGAGGGCCGUCUGUCUGUCUGCUCUGGAGGGCCGUCUGUCUGUCUGCUCUGGAGGACUGUCUGUCUGCUCUGGAGGGCCGUCUGUCUGCUCUGGAGGACUGUCUGUCUCCUCUGGAGGACUGUCUGUCUGCUCUGGAGGACUGUCUGUCUGUCUGCUCUGGAGGACUGUCUGUCUGCUCUGGAGGGCCGUCUGUCUGUCUGCUCUGGAGGACUGUCUGUCUGCUCUGGAGGGCCGUCUGUCUGUCUGCUCUGGAGGACUGUCUGUCUGCUCUGGAGGGCCGUUUGUCUGUCUGCUCUGGAGGACUGUUUGUCUGCUCUGGGGGCCGUCUGUCUGUCUGGAGGGCAGUCUGUCUGUCUGUAGGGCCAUCUGUCUGUCUGCUCUGAGGGGCCGUCUGUCUGCUCAGUGAUGAGGUCGUGGUUGGACAGAGAUCUGAUGACAUCACUUCCUUUCCUUCCUGCUUUCAGGUCCAGUCCGUUACCCAGAGUGCAUUGGGGCGAGAGUUCCUCACAGGAGAGGGCUGGGAUUGGUGGAGCAGGCGUCAGUGGAGCCCCUCCAGGGACGUACACUUCAGGACCGCUGAUGUGAUGCGUUCCCAUGACGACGAGGCUGGGAGCUGACGGAGCAGAGUCCGUCUCCACCUCCCCCCUCCUGACCCCUGAACCCCAGCGCCCCGCUCAGCCACCGUCGCCACGACAACAACAGUCUCCCGCCCGACUCGUCGCCAUGUCCAGCCGCAGGAAGUCGUCCACCCCCUGCAUGGUCCGCGCGGAGACAGACCCGCCCCGCCCCGGGGGGGAGGGGCCGGGGGAGGAGGAGGAGGAGCCUAGAGAGGAGGAGCAGGCAGAGGCGGGGCCAGUGGGCGGGCCCCUGAGCUCACCGGACCAGAGUCCGGAGGGCGGGCCAUCGCCGCGGGAACCGGAGGGGGCGGGGCCAGAGGCCGCUGAGAUGGACGACGACGACGAUGAUGAGGAAGACGAGGGGGAGGAGGAGGAGGAGGAGGAGGAGGAGGGGGAGGAAGGGGAGCCCAAGAGGCCCCCCCAGGAGCCGCGGGCCCUGGGGGCCCGGGGCUUCGUGUGUAAGUACUGCUCGUUCUCCUCGGCCGGCCUGGGGGCGUUCGAGGCGCACGUGGCCGCGCAGCACCCCGCGGUGACCCCGACCCCACUGGGCCGCUACCACGCCGCGCACCCCCCCGGGGGGGGCCCGGCCCAUCAGCACCCCACACCCAACGGGCUCCUCCAGAGGGGCCGGGGCCCCGCAGAGAACGGGCCCCCCCUCCACCAGGGGCCCCCCUCCUCCACGGGCCCCCCCUCCUCCAGGGGCCCCCCCUCCUCCAGGGGCCCCCCCUCCACCAGGGGCCCCCCCUCCUCCAGGGGCCCCCCCUCCACCAGGGGCCCCACGUGGCCCCCCUCCUCCAGAGGCCUCCCAACUUCGCGGCGGUCCCCAAGGUGGCGGUGCCGCUGAGCAGCAGCCGGUACGACCCGGCGCUGGACGUCAGCCCCGCCCUGAUGGCGUCGUUCGGCCGCUUCCCGUACCCCACGCAGGCGGAGCUGAGCUGGCUGACGGCGGCCUCGCGCCACCCCGAGGGCGCCAUCCGCGCGUGGUUCACCACGCAGCGGCUGAAGCAGGGCAUCACCUGGGCCCCCGAGGAGGUGGAGGAGGCCCGCAAGAAGAUGUUCAACGGCUCCAUGCCGCCCGCCCACCACACCUUCACGGCCCCGCCCCGCCGCCGCCGCCGCCGCCGCCGCCGGCCCCGCCCCCGCUCCCCCCCCCACCGCGCCGCCGUGUGCUCCAGCUACGCCCUGGUGCGGCCCCGGGCCCCGGAGCAGGCGGAGCGCCCCGUCAUGGCCGUGGCCCCCAACGCCGGGGACCCCAGGGACAAGGGGCUGAUGGCCCCGCCCCCGCCGCCGCCACCCUUGAAGGACCGCCCCGUCGCCCGCGAGACGAAGCGGCCCGCGGCGACGCCUCGUCGCCUCCGACCCCAAGAGGAAGCACCGGGGG